AGUGAACGCUGGCGGUAGGCCUAACACAUGCAAGUCGAACGGCAGCACAGUAAGAGCUUGCUCUUACGGUUGGCGAGUGGCGGACGGGUGAGGAAUACAUCGGCAUCUACUUUUUCGUGGGUGAUAACGUAGGGAAACUUACGCUACUACCGCAUACGACCUACGGGUGAAAGCAGGGGAUCUUCGGACCUUGCGCGAUUGAAUGAGCCGAUGUCGCAUUAGCUAGUUGGCGGGGUAAAGGCCCACCAAGGCAACGAUCCGUAGCUGGUCUGAGAGGAUGAUCGGCCACACUGGAACUGAGACACGGUCCAGACUCCUACGGGAGGCAGCAGUGGGGAAUAUUGGGCAAUGGGCGAAAGCCUGAUCCAGCAAUACCGCGUGAGUGAAGAAGGCCUUCGGGUUGUAAAGCCCUUUUGUUGGGAAAGAAAAGCAGCAGGUUAAUACCCCGCUGUUCUGACGGUACCCAAAGAAUAAGCACCGGCUAACUUCGUG
rnacentral:rRNA from 1 species